ACUGCCCCAGCCAUACAUAAUAAUGAUGACAAUGAGUGUUUCUGGUUGUCUCAUUCUGCAUGGCAGUGCAAGCCCUGCCCCUCUCAGGCUGCAGGCAUUGCUAUUGGACUGAGUUCUAGAUGGACAGGCAUUUCCUCCAGUAGCAAGAGACCGUUGGACAGCCCAGGGUCAGCAGCACACGUCUCCAGCUGUCUCUCUUGACAGGUGCUCUAAGGUGUUGCCUCUGUUGGUAGAGCAGUUGCAGCAGGUCUCUGCAUCAUCAUACCCCUCUGUCACCCUGUCCCUGAUCAAGUUUAUAUAAUGGAGCCUGAGAGAGAUAGACAACAGCACACAGCCCGUGGCUCUGUCAUCCACUCUGCGCCGUCUGGUGAAGAGGUAUCCAGGGCUCCGACCCAGCAGCAGGACCCCAGCAGCCCCCCUUUCCAUUAAUCAAACAACCAACCAAUCACUUUUUAUUUGUAUCAUGCUUUUCAAAAAUACAUUGAUGGGAGAACUUGCACAAUUGGUGGCUGACUAAAUACUUUUUUGCCCCACUGCAAGUGGGUUAUGUCAAGGAUUUCCUCCUCUUCUUCCGAAGAGGAGAGGCGAAAAGGAUCAGAGGACCAAUAUGCGGCGUGCUGACAUGCUACUCCCUCCACAGUGACCUGGUGUGUGUGGAUGUCAGGGGGCUGUUUCUGCAGUAUGGGGGAGUGUCUGUCCUCUUAGCCCUGCUCUGAGGGGGAAAGAAGGGGCUGCAGACCCCCAUAGACAUCCUACUGCAGCUCAGUGCAGAGUCACGGUAUCUGUCUGAGUUCCGGCCUGCGCGCACCACUGAGGACUUGUUCCAUACAGCAGCUGUUCUUGUGAAUAGCCCCCAGACUAGAACUUCCUCUUCUGG
ensembl:lncRNA